rnacentral:rRNA from 1 species
AGUGAACGCUGGCGGUAUGCCUAACACAUGCAAGUCGAACGGCAGCACAGUAAGAGCUUGCUCUUACGGGUGGCGAGUGGCGGACGGGUGAGGAAUACAUCGGAAUCUACUUUUUCGUGGGGGAUAACGUAGGGAAACUUACGCUAAUACCUCAUACGACCUACGGGUGAAAGCAGUGGAUCUUCGGACCUUGCGCGAUUGAAUGAGCCGAUGUCGGAUUAGCUAGUUGGCGGGGUAAAGGCCCACCAAGGCGACGAUCCGUAGCUGGUCUGAGAGGAUGAUCAGCCACACUGGAACUGAGACACGGUCCAGACUCCUACGGGAGGCAGCAGUGGGGAAUAUUGGACAAUGGGCGCAAGCCUGAUCCAGCCAUACCGCGUGAGUGAAGAAGGUCUUCGGGUUGUAAAACCCUUUUGUUGGGAAAGAAAAGCAGUAGGUGAAUACCCCGCUGUUCUGACGGUACCCAAAGAAUAAGCAACGGCUAACUUCGUG